rnacentral:misc_RNA from 1 species
AAGUCGUAACAAGGUUUCCGUAGGUGAACCUGCGGAAGGAUCAUUACCGAGUGCGGGUCCUUUGGGCCCAACCUCCCAUCCGUGUCUAUUAUACCCUGUUGCUUCGGCGGGCCCGCCGCUUGUCGGCCGCCGGGGGGGCGCCUUUGCCCCCCGGGCCCGUGCCCGCCGGAGACCCCAACACGAACACUGUCUGAAAGCGUGCAGUCUGAGUUGAUUGAAUGCAAUCAGUUAAAACUUUCAACAAUGGAUCUCUUGGUUCCG